UUACGACCAUAUCUCGUUGAAACAAUGGUUCUCAUACGAACAGUGAAGUUAAGCAACACUGAGCCUGGUCAUUACCUAGAUGAGUAACUGCUUGGGAGUACCACGUGCUGUAAG